rnacentral:rRNA from 1 species
UCAGGACGAACGCUGGCGGCGUGCCUAAUACAUGCAAGUCGAGCGGACAGAUGGGAGCUUGCUCCCUGAUGUUAGCGGCGGACGGGUGAGUAACACGUGGGUAACCUGCCUGUAAGACUGGGAUAACUCCGGGAAACCGGGGCUAAUACCGGAUGGUUGUUUGAACCGCAUGGUUCAAACAUAAAAGGUGGCUUCGGCUACCACUUACAGAUGGACCCGCGGCGCAUUAGCUAGUUGGUCAGGUAACGGCUCACCAAGGCUACGAUGCGUAGCCGAUCUGAGAGGGUGAUCGGCCACACUGGGACUGAGACACGGCCCAGACUCCUACGGGAGGCAGCAGUAGGGAAUCUUCCGCAAUGGACGAAAGUCUGACGGAGCAACGCCACGUGAGUGAUGAAGGGUUUCGGACCGUAAAGCUCUGUUGUUAGGGAAGAACAAGGACCGUUCUAAUAAGGCGGUACCUUGACGGUACCUAACCAGAAAGCCAAGGCUAACUACGUGCCAGCAGCCGCGGUAAU